AAAGAGCUAUAACCGCUCAUAAAAGGGUUUUAAAGAAUUUACUCGUGUAAAUCACCCUCGGUGGCGAGUCUGAGUAUAAUA
rfam:Anaerobacillus alkalilacustris strain DSM 18345 Ga0137925_152, whole genome shotgun sequence.